rnacentral:rRNA from 1 species
UACGGAGGAUGCAAGCGUUAUCCGGAAUGAUUGGGCGUAAAGCGUCCGCAGGUGGCACCUCAAGUCUGCUGUCAAAGACCGGGGCUUAACCCCAGAAAGGCAGUGGAAACUGAAGUGCUAGAGUGCAGUAGGGGUAGAGGGAAUUCCCGGUGUAGCGGUGAAAUGCGUAGAUAUCAGGAAGAACACCGGUGGCGAAAGCGCUCUGCUAGGCCGCAACUGACACUGAGGGACGAAAGCUAGGGGAGCGAAUGGG